AGUGCUAGACUUGUUUUUUGCGCUUGAUUGACGGCUCUUCUUCGUAGGGCGACGUGUAUUCGUUGCACUUGCGGGCGUUGUUUAAAGUGCUUGAUUUUAACCACCUGAGUUGGGUAUGAUUACCUGCUGAACUUAAGCAUAUCAGUAAGCAGAGGAAAAGAAACAAACAUGGAUUCCCUUAGUAACGGCGAGUGAAA
rnacentral:rRNA from 1 species